rnacentral:lncRNA from 1 species
AAUAAUAAUAAUAAUUGAUUUUACCAUUCAAAUCAAAUCUAUAUUUUUUUAUAAAAAUAAUGUUUUUUUAAAUUUAAUAAUAUUAAUGAAUAUGGAUAAUAUUUAUAAUAUUAAUAAUAAUAAUAAACUUGUCUUACCCAAGUUUUUAUAGUUUUUAAUCUCUUCAAAUAAAAUUUAUUGUUUUUCUUCUAUAGUAAUAAUAUUUUUAAAAAAAUUUAUUAAUGAUAACAAUAAUAAUAAUAUUAAACUCGUCUGACCCAAGUUCUUAUAGUUUUUAAUCCCUUCAAAUUCAAUUUAUGUUUUUUCUUCAAUAGUAAUAAGAUUUGUUUUUUAAAUUUAUUAAUGAUAAUAAUGAUAAUUUUUAAUUUUACUCAUCAAAUGAAAUCUAUGGUUGUUUUUCAAUAUUAAUAAUAUUUUUUGCAAAUUUAUUAAUUAUUAUAUUAAUAAUAAUAAAAAUAAAAAUAUUAAACUUGUUUGCCUAAGUUUAAGUGGGUUCGGCUGCAAUGUCAGGUCCAAUGGUAUGACAGUCACUGCUUGACCCCAGUGCUAGGUGUCUGGCAGCCAUGCCAUUUCCCAGCGCCUGGAGCUGAUAGUCUUGCCAUGCCGCAACACCUGGGACCUGACAGUCUUAUCAUGUCCCAACAAAAUCUGAACUGACCAUUUUAUCCCCAAUUAUUUUUUUAAUGCCAAAUGCUUCCCAUGAAAGAAAAAAAAAUUUGUACGCCAUUGCAAUUUUAGCAAGUUUUUUAAAAAAAUUUGUACGCCAUUGCAAUUUUAGCAAGUUUUUUUUUUUAUAUAAAAAUAACUUCAUCAUUAUACUACUUCAAUCCACCGUAAUCUAUAUCCAAAUAAACAGGGAGAGGGACAUGCAUUCAUUUUAAUAAAUUGAAUAAUAUAAUAUAAUUAUAGGCAAUAUUUGCACGAAACAGCUGCAAUAGUCCCCUUACGGGUACUGGGACCGAGCCACAGCAGGACGGGGCCAUGCGGGCAGAAUAAUUUAGCGUGUUUGUUUUUGAGGUAGCUUUUGUGGUUGUGAUUUGAAAAAAGUAAGUUUUUAAAAAAUAUGGUUAGCUGAGGUUAGUUGGAUUUUGAUACAUAUUUUGUAAAAAAUAUGGUUGAAGUUUAUGUGCAACAAAAAACAUGUAUAAAAUGUUUGGUAGUUGUGUGGUUGUUUUUCAAAGUGCUUUUUACUUAGAAAUACAUUAAAAUAAUGUAUUUUUAUUUUUAAAAAAUUAUUUUUGAUAUCAGCGCAUUAAAAUGAUGUAAAAACAUUAAAAAUAUAUUAAUUUGAAGUAAAGAAAAAAAAUAAAAAAAUAAUCAAUUUUUUUUAAAAGCUCUUUUGAAAUGUAAAAACAAACAAUAUUUUACGAAACUUAAUUGAAAAAAUAUAUAAAAACUGCAUCAAAAAAAUUACAUUUCAAACUUAACUUUUUAAUGAAUCUCGCUAAUUUUUACAGUUAACGAACACCUUAUUAUAUUUUUUGUGGACUGCAAAUACAAAGGCAGGUGAAAAACAAACGCAGUGUAAUCGAUGGCUUCGGCAAAACUGUGGUCGACAGCGAAGAACUACCAAAAGUCUUUGAAUGAAUCGACAGUCCUAGGCAUGUCCAAGAAACAAACAUACCAGGACGUAUUUAUUGGUCUGCAUUCUAUCAUCGCGCCCCAUUUAAUAGCCUCAACUAUAAAUCAUAACCAUUAACCCCUUGUACCGUCAUCAUCUUUUAACCACUUCCCUUUCAUCUCCUCUGUUUUUGGGCUCCAUUUCAGCAUAUUUUGUUUUUUUUUUUAUGUUUUUUAUAUUAAAUUAAAUUUUUUAAUUUUUAAUUUUUAAUUUUUUUUACAUAUUAAUCUAAAAUAUAAAAUAUAAUUUUUUUUUAAUAUAUUUUGAAAUAAAAAAACAAUUUUUAAAACGAUAUCAAUUCAACAAUAGCUGCCGACUUUUGACAGUUUCCAUGUAUUUUCAGAGAACUACGUGCAGGGUUAGAUACGAAGAAUUUAACCUCAUCACAACAACAAAUAAAAUAUUUUUUGAAAAAAUAUUAAUAUGUGAGCAUCAUACGUACACACGUGUAUGUGUGUGUGUGAUGAGAAAUUAAGUUAAUCAUUUGAGAUGCGUCGAAGAUUUGAAGACUAGAAGUAAGGAUAGAGGGAAGAGGAAACAAGGAAUAUUCAGUGGAUCAAUGACAUGCUAUGUUAAAAAUAAUUCAGUGUCAGGUUCGAGCUCUGUGAUUGCUCAUAUAAUGGCUACUAGAGGCUUAUAUGAUCGUUAACUUCAGGGCCCGUGGGAUUAGUCGAGGUGCGCGCAAACUGACCCGGACACCCACAUUAAACUAAAAAAAUAAAAUAACAAUUCAGUGUGUUGAAUGUAAACAUGCUUUAAUUUCAACAAACUUUUAAUUUAAUUUCAAUAUAAUUUUUAAUUAAUUUUAAAAUUAAAUAAUAAUUUAAAAACUUGAGAGUUUGAACUAACAUAUAUAAAUCACGAUGAAAUUUCAACCUCUCUAUAACUCCUACAUAAUAUCUUAAAAUCAAUUAUAUUGUAAUUUUGAUAUUUUUAAAUGAUGAAAAAAAAUCACCAACUGAAAAAACGUUAACUAGUCUAUAUUAAAAGUCUAUUGACCCGUGCUCUGUCUUUGUUAGAUUAAUUUUUUUAAAACAUAAAAAAGACUAUUGAGAGCACGAAGAGUUUUUUUUUAUAAUGUUAUGAACUCUGAUCAAAUGGGUCAAUCUUAAAAUCUUUUGUCUCAGUUUUUUAUCUAAUUCAAGUUUCAAAUUAAAUCGUGUGAGAGCUAGUCUGAUUUAAACAAUCAAUUGUAUGGAUCCAAAUGUAACGUGGAUGACUAAUGAAAACAUAACUUAGCUUUUAAAAAGAAUUCAAGAUAAUUUUUUUUAAAAUAUCGAGACAAUAACAGAUUGAAUCAAUCCCGGCCCCCAAAUAACCCGGAUCAUGAACUCUAUUUGAUUUAAUAACUUUUUUUUUAUAAACUCUUUUUAAUUAUAUAAUAAAAAAAGAUUCAUAAUCUUUUUAUUCUUAAUACUUUAAGUAUUUAUAUUUUCAAUUACUUCCCAGAGGCGUCACUUUUAAAUAUUGAUUUAGGUGGUAAACCACUUUAAUUAUUGUAUUUAAUAUUGUAAUCCUCACCCUACCCUUCCUAAAAUAUCAAUUACUUUCUCUGUUUCGUAAAGAGAGUUUUAUUAAACUUCACACAAAUCAUUUCGUUUUGUUUGCCACCUUAGUCUUUCGCAGUCUUUCUUCAAGACACUUCCAAUUUUCGAGAGAGAAAACUCAUAUAUUUUUUUUAUCAUAUGUAUUACAUUACAUUUUAAAAUUACAUGUAGUUGAAAAAAAAUGUGAAUUCAAUUUUAAAAGAAGUAAAAUAAUAAAAUUUGAUACUCUAUUCUUUUUAUUUAUAAAUAAAAACAUAUAUUUUAAGAUAAAAUGAAAAAAGAACUCACUCUAUAAGAUGGGAGAAAUAUAAUGUUUAUUCUAUAGGCUCCACAUGGAAACAAUCGCCAUAAAAUUAUAAUUAUUAUACUCGAUUCGAAAACUAAACUAGAAAAAAGAUACGAGUCAUUGAGUUACUAGACUAACUUGUGGAUCAUCAUAUGAUCAAUUCAGUGGAUCAAUGACAAGCUAUAUUAAAAAUAAUUCAGUGUGUUAGAAUGUAAACAUGCUUUAAUUUCAACAAACUUUUAAUUUAAUUUCAAUAUAUUUUUUAAUUAAUUUUAAAAUUAAAUAAUAAUUUAAAAACUUGAGAGUUUGAACUAACAUAUAUAAAUCACGAUGAAAUUUCAACCUCUCUAUAACUCCUACAUAAUAUCUUAAAAUCAAUUAUAUUGUAAUUUUUACAGUUUUAAUUAUUCUUAAAUGAUGAAAAAAAAAUCAUUGGCUAAAAAAAUACUAACUAGUCUAUGUUACUAGUCUAUUGACCCGCGUUCUGUCUUUGUCAGAUUAGUUUUUUUAAAAUGUAAAAAGAAUGUUGAGAGCACGAGGAUUUUUUUUUUAUAGUGUUAUUAACUCUAAUCAAAUGGGUCAAUUUUAAAACCUUUCGUCUCAGCUCUUUGUCAAACUCAAGUUUUCAAUUAAAUUGCGUGGCAGCUAGUUCGAUUUAAACAGUCGCUUUUAUGGAUCCAAAUGUAACUUGGAUGGCUGAUGAAAACAUGACUUAGCUUUAAAAAAAAAUUCAAGAUAAUUUUUUUAAAAAAAAAUAUCGAGACAAUGACAGAUUAGAUCAAUCAUGGUCCCCCAAUAACCCUGAUCAUGGACUCUAUUGGAUUUAAUAAUUUUUUUUUAUAAACUCUUUUUAAUUAUAUAAUAAAAAUAGAUGCUCGUAAAAUUAAACACCAACCCUAAAAUAUAUAUUUAUUUGAGACUAUGAUAACCCUAUAGAAAACAAACAAAAAUAAACCUUAUAGUCUAUUCCUAACCGAUCAUAUAUUGAAGGACGAAAUAAAAAAAUAAAGGAUAAAAAAUAAAAAAAAGCAUAUCCAGUCUAUUAGUAAACCUGUCAAACCUGUGAAUCGGGUAACUUGAGCUAGCAUGCCAAACCAGUGAACGAGGUUAUGGACUCCACUGAGAUUAUAAUUUGUUUUUUCUUAAAAAAAUAUUUUUUAUUUAACUAUAUGAUAAUAAAAAUAGACGAUCGCAAAAUCAAAUAUUAACUCAAUACCGAGAUAUUUUUCGAGACCGCAAUAACUUUAUAGAAAGCAAAUCGAAACCAAUUAUGAAAUUGAAUUCCCAAUUAACUCAAUAUCUAUAGAUGAAAUCGAAAAAAAGAGUUAAACUUUCCAAACCUGCGAACCAUGUCAACCAACCGAACCUAUGAACAGAUCCAUGGAAUUUAUAAAGUUUAAUAACAUGUUUUUUUUUUCAAAAAUAUUUUUUUAACUAUACGAGAAAAAAAAUAAACGAUAACAAACUCAAGUUCAAAUCGAAAAAAAGAGUUAAACUUUCCAAACCUGCGAACCAUGUCAACCAACCGAACCUAUGAACAGAUCCAUGAACUUUAUAAAGUUUAAUAACAUGUUUUUUUUUCAAAACUAUUUUUUUAAAUAUAAGAGAAAAAAAAUAAACGAUAACAAACUCAAGUUCAAUUAAAAAAAAACACUUUGCCAAACCCAUAAACCAUGAUAACUUGGGUUACCCAAGUAAACCUGCAAACUACUUUAACCAUUUAAAAAGAAAAAAUAAAAAUAAAUAAAUUAUAAGAUUUAAUUCUAAAUUAUCUCAAUAUUACAAAAUAAAAUAGAUAAAAAAAAUUUUGAAAAAAAAAAACCAAUAAGCAAAGCGAGAGCAGAGAGAGCAUAUCAAGAAAUUUUUGCUAUAAAAAAAUAAUAGCAAAGGCUAAAACUGUAUGCUUAAAAAAAAGGAAAAAAGAAAAAGUGGACGACGGACGACGUGGUUUUGUCCCACAGGUUGAAAAAAGGCUUGUGAUGAAAUCGUUUCAGCCUAGCUUAAGUUUAAUUUCCCAUUCAUCUGCUUGUCGUGCAUCUUUUAUUCCCCGAGCUAAACUCAACAGAACACUCAUUACCCAAAAAAAUAAACAUACCCCUCCCCUGUCCCUUUCACUCAAAGGGUUAGUUCGAGUUUCUUCGCAGAUUAUUGAAAAUAUGAAGGAUAAUUGUUUUGUGACGACUAAUUGCGUCAUCAUCAAAAUAGGUAGGAUUAAAUUGUGGUAAUGAUUUUUUUAAAAAUAUUUUUUAUUUGAAAAUAUAUUAAUAUAAUAUUUUUUAAAUUUUAUUUUUAAUAUCAAUAUAUCAAAAUCAUUUAAAAAUAUCAAAAACUUUAAUUUAAAAUAAAAAUUUUAUUUUUUUUAAAAAAGCACGGCAUCACUACAAUAGUUAACACUUACAUAAUCUCGUGGAAGUGUUGAGUGCUUUUUUUUGGGUUAUUAACUUGGUUCAUGAGUUUGAACCGGAUCACCUAAAUUAUUAAAUAGUUAAAUGAGUUUUAUCGGUCAAAAUCUUGGUUAAUUCAACUAGUAACCUGAACCGAUUUUGAAUUUUGAAUUUCCUACAUUAAUCUAUCCGGUUGGCAAAGUUUUAUAACUAUGUAAAAAAAAUUAAAAAAAAAAUGCAGUACGAGCACACCACUCGUAUAUAAAAGACACCGAAGGUUUGAACUUUGAUCACUGAAUUCAGGUGUUGCCAAUUGAACUUCAUUGGUACUUGUAGAAUAUGGCAGAUGAGAAGAAACAAAACCUGGAAAACAAACCUGUGUUGUCUCCACCUCUACCCGAGAGGAAGAAAAACACCUUACCAAACUUCCUUUUAUCUGUUCAGCUCAAAUAUGUGAAACUUGGUUACCACUACUUGGUUUCCAAUGCCAUGUACCUCAUGCUCAUGCCAGCAC